GACGAACGCUGGCGGCGUGCUUAACACAUGCAAGUCGAACGGAAAGGCCUUUUCGUUGGUACUCGAGUGGCGGACGGGGGAGUAACACGUAGGUGAGCUUCCCUGCACUCUGGGAUAAGCCUGGGAAAGUGGGUCUAAUACCGGAUAGGACCGCACUUUAGUGUGGGUGGGGGAAAGUGUGUUCGGUGGAGGAUGAGCCCGCGGCCUAUCAGCUUGUUGGGGGGGUAAUGGCCUACCAAGGCGGCGACGGGGAGGCGGACUGUGAGGUUGGUCCGCCACACUGGGUCCGAGGUACGGCCCCGGUUGCGAAGGGGGGACGCAGGGGGGAAUAUUGACCAAUGGGCGCCAGGCUGAUGAAGAGAGGCCGCGGGGCGGAAGACGGUCUUAGGGUUGUAAAACACGUUCGUCAGGGACGAAGCGCUUUGUGACGGUACCUGGAGAAGAAGCACCGGCUAACUACGUG
rnacentral:rRNA from 1 species